AACGCAAGUUGCGCCCGAUGCCAUUAGGUUGAGGGCACGUCUGCCUGGGUGUCACAUAUCGAAGCCCCUUCCCAAUUUCCUAUUUAAUAGGUAUUGUGUGCAGGGUGAUUAUGUAGGCCUCCCGUGAGCUCUGUCUCACGGUUGGUUGAAAAUUGAGACCUUGGUAGGGUGUGCCAUGAUAGAUGGUGGAUGUGUGACCCACGAGACCAAAUCAUGUGCUGCUCUAUUGAAUGUGGACUCUUUUACCCACAUGCGUUUUGUAACGCUCGUGAUGAGACCUCAGGUCAGGCGGGGCUACCCGCUGAAUUUAA
rnacentral:misc_RNA from 1 species